GACGAACGCUGGCGGCGCGCCUAACACAUGCAAGUCGAACGAGCGAGAGAGAGCUUGCUUUCUCGAGCGAGUGGCGAACGGGUGAGUAACGCGUGAGGAACCUGCCUCAAAGAGGGGGACAACAGUUGGAAACGACUGCUAAUACCGCAUAAGCCCACGGCUCGGCAUCGAGCAGAGGGAAAAGGAGCAAUCCGCUUUGAGAUGGCCUCGCGUCCGAUUAGCUAGUUGGUGAGGUAAUGGCCCACCAAGGCGACGAUCGGUAGCCGGACUGAGAGGUUGAACGGCCACAUUGGGACUGAGACACGGCCCAGACUCCUACGGGAGGCAGCAGUGGGGAAUAUUGCACAAUGGGGGAAACCCUGAUGCAGCGACGCCGCGUGGAGGAAGAAGGUCUUCGGAUUGUAAACUCCUGUUGUUGAGGAAGAUAAUGACGGUACUCAACAAGAAAGUGACGGCUAACUACGUGCCAGCAGCCGCGGUAAAACGUAGGUCACAAGCGUUGUCCGGAAUUACUGGGUGUAAAGGGAGCGCAGGCGGGAAGACAAGUUGGAAGUGAAAUCCAUGGGCUCAACCCAUGAACUGCUUUCAAAACUGUUUUUCUUGAGUAGUGCAGAGGUAGGCGGAAUUCCCGGUGUAGCGGUGGAAUGCGUAGAUAUCGGGAGGAACACCAGUGGCGAAGGCGGCCUACUGGGCACCAACUGACGCUGAGGCUCGAAAGUGUGGGUAGCAAACAGGAUUAGAUACCCUGGUAGUCCACACUGUAAACGAUGAUUACUAGGUGUUGGAGGAUUGACCCCUUCAGUGCCGCAGUUAACACAAUAAGUAAUCCACCUGGGGAGUACGACCGCAAGGUUGAAACUCAAAGGAAUUGACGGGGGCCCGCACAAGCAGUGGAGUAUGUGGUUUAAUUCGACGCAACGCGAAGAACCUUACCAAGUCUUGACAUCCCUUGACGAUGCUGGAAACAGUAUUUCUCUUCGGAGCAAGGAGACAGGUGGUGCAUGGUUGUCGUCAGCUCGUGUCGUGAGAUGUUGGGUUAAGUCCCGCAACGAGCGCAACCCUUAUGGUCAGUUACUACGCAAGAGGACUCUGGCCAGACUGCCGUUGACAAAACGGAGGAAGGUGGGGAUGACGUCAAAUCAUCAUGCCCUUUAUGACUUGGGCUACACACGUACUACAGUGGCGUUAAACAAAGAGAAGCAAGACCGCGAGGUGGAGCAAAACUCAGAAACAACGUCCCAGUUCGGACUGCAGGCUGCAACUCGCCUGCACGAAGUCGGAAUUGCUAGUAAUCGCAGAUCAGCAUGCUGCGGUGAAUACGUUCCCGGGCCU
rnacentral:rRNA from 1 species